rnacentral:lncRNA from 1 species
CUUUACGAGUCAAUCUGAAGUAAGCAAUAAUCUUUCACAAUUAUAUUCAGAUUUGAAAGGAAUUGAAAGCAAGGGCACAUAUGGAAUCCAAGCAAUCACAUACAACUUAAUUCAAAUAAGAAGGUUAGAUGAAUUCGAUAUCCAAAGGAAUGAAACUAGAAUAGGCACACAUCGAAAGCAAAUGCGGAACAAUGGGUUAUACAUGUGCCUAUAUAAGUCAAUGUGAUAUAGCAUAAACGUUACACAAUAUGUUCAGGAAUGGUAAUAAUUUAUAGACAAGAGCAAACGAGAAUUCAAACAUUAAUAUAAGCCACAAUUGAGUGAAGGGAACUGAACAAAAUAUAUUUCCAAACGAACGAAAACAGAAGAUACGAAAUCGAUCAAAGCUCGAUUUCUGACAGAAUACGAGAGGCUCAUUGGAUAAAUACUUCAGAUUAUCAAUUAUGCUCCAAUACCCUCAAG